rnacentral:rRNA from 1 species
GUAGGUGGCAGGCGUUGUCCGGAAUUAUUGGGCGUAAAGCGCGCGCAGGGCGGUCCUUUAAGUCUGAUGUGAAAGCCCACGGCUCAACCGUGGAGGGUCAUUGGAAACUGGGGGACUUGAGUACAGAAGAGGAAAGCGGAAUUCCAAGUGUAGCGGUGAAAUGCGUAGAGAUUUGGAGGAACACCAGUGGCGAAGGCGGCUUUCUGGUCUGUAACUGACGCUGAGGCGCGAAAGCGUGGGGAGCAAACAGGAUUAGAUACCCUGGUAGUCCACGCCGUAAACGAUGAGUGCUAAGUGUUAGGGGGUUUCCGCCCCUUAGUGCUGCAGCUAACGCAUUAAGCACUCCGCCUGGGGAGUACGGCCGCAAGGCUG